UAUACGACUCUCGGCAAUGGAUAUCUCGGCUCUCGCAUCGAUGAAGAGCGCAGCGAAAUGCGAUACGUGGUGUGAAUUGCAGAAUCCCGCGAACCAUCGAGUCUUUGAACGCAAGUUGCGCCCGAGGCCAACCGGCUGAGGGCACGUCCGCCUGGGCGUCAAGC
rnacentral:rRNA from 1 species